GUGGGGAAUCUUGCACAAUGGGGGAAACCCUGAUGCAGCGACGCCGCGUGGGUGAUGAAGGUCUUCGGAUCGUAAAGCCCUUUCGGCAGGGAAGAGUAAAGACGGUACCUGCAAAAGAAGCCCCGGCUAACUACGUGCCAGCAGCCGCGGUAAUACGUAGGGGGCCAGCGUUGUUCGGAAUUACUGGGCGUAAAGAGCGCGUAGGCGGCGCAGUGUGUUUGGUGUGAAAUCUCCCGGCUCAACCGGGAGGGGCCAUCGAAAACUGCUGUGCUUCGGGUUUGGGAGAGGGGAGUGGAAUUCCCGGUGUAGCGGUGAAAUGCGUAGAGAUCGGGAGGAACACCAGCGACGAAGGUGGCUCCCUGGACCAAUACCGACGCUGAGGCGCGAAAGCUAGGGGAGCAAACAGGAUUAGAAACCCUUGUAGUCC
rnacentral:rRNA from 1 species